GAGCAAGACGACCACGAGCCUGCAGCUGUGGUCACAGCAGAGCCUGAUGGUUCCAAGGGAAUUCUUCCAGAGAAAGAGCAGGAGCAGAUUGCAUUAUCAGAGAUGCCAUGCCAGACUCAGGGAGAGCUGAGAGCCCGAGAGCAGGAAGAGCAGCUCAGGCAGCAGGUGGAAGAGCCACAGGAGAAUGGCCAGAGCAUCAAGGCAGAGCCACAAGCAGAGCAGCCCGAAGCUCAGAGUGCCAUCAUGGAAGUAAAGA